rnacentral:rRNA from 1 species
UGGGGAAUUUUGGACAAUGGGGGCAACCCUGAUCCAGCAAUGCCGCGUGAGUGAAGAAGGCCUUCGGGUUGUAAAGCUCUUUUGUCAGGGAAGAAAAGGCUGCAGCGAAUACCUGCGGCUGAUGACGGUACCUGAAGAAUAAGCACCGGCUAACUACGUGCCAGCAGCCGCGGUAAUACGUAGGGUGCAAGCGUUAAUCGGAAUUACUGGGCGUAAAGCGUGCGCAGGCGGUUUUGUAAGUCUGUCGUGAAAUCCCCGGGCUCAACCUGGGAAUUGCGAUGGAGACUGCAAGGCUGGAGUCUGGCAGAGGGGGGUAGAAUUCCACGUGUAGCAGUGAAAUGCGUAGAGAUGUGGAGGAACACCGAUGGCGAAGGCAGCCCCCUGGGUCAAGACUGACGCUCAUGCACGAAAGCGUGGGGAGCAAACA